GGGGGGGGGGGGGGGGCUUUAACUUGCACGUCGAACGGACUCAUAUUGAAACCUAGUGAUUUAUGAGUUAGUGGCGCCCUAAAAGAGUACGCGUGGAUAACCUGCCGUAUACCGGGGCCUAACACUUAGAAAUAGGUGCUAAUACCGCAUAAGCGCACGGCUCCGCAUGGGGCAGUGUGAAAAACUCCGGUGCUAUACGAUGGAUCCGCGUCUGAUUAGCUAGUUGGCGGGGUAACGGCCCACCAAGGCAGCGAUCAGUAGCCGGCCUGAGAGGGUGGACGGCCACAUUGGGACUGAGACACGGCCCAAACUCCUACGGGAGGCAGCAGUGGGGAAUAUUGCACAAUGGGGGAAACCCUGAUGCAGCGACGCCGCGUGAGUGAAGAAGUAUCUCGGUACGUAAAGCUCUAUCAGCAGGGAAGAAAAUGACGGUACCUGACUAAGAAGCCCCGGCUAACUACGUGCCAGCAGCCGCGGUAAUACGUAGGGGGCAAGCGUUAUCCGGAUUUACUGGGUGUAAAGGGAGCGUAGACGGCAGCACAAGUCUGGAGUGAAAUCCCGGGGCUUAACCCCGGAACUGCUUUGGAAACCGUGCGGCUGGAGUGCAGGAGGGGUAAGCGGAAUUCCUAGUGUAGCGGUGAAAUGCGUAGAUAUUAGGAGGAACACCGGUGGCGAAGGCGGCUUACUGGACUGUAACUGACGUUGAGGCUCGAAAGCGUGGGGAGCAAACAGGAUUAGAUACCCUGGUAGUCCACGCCCGUAAACGAAGAAUACUAGGUGUCGGGGGAUCAAGGUCCUCCGGUGCCGGCGCCAACGCCUUUAUUAAUCCACCUGGGGAGUAAGUUCGCAA
rnacentral:rRNA from 1 species